rnacentral:rRNA from 1 species
GAUGAACGCUGGCGGCGUGCCUAAUACAUGCAAGUCGAGCGAACGGACGAGAAGCUUGCUUCUCUGAUGUUAGCGGCGGACGGGUGAGUAACACGUGGAUAACCUACCUAUAAGACUGGGAUAACUUCGGGAAACCGGAGCUAAUACCGGAUAAUAUUUUGAACCGCAUGGUUCAAAAGUGAAAGACGGUCUUGCUGUCACUUAUAGAUGGAUCCGCGCUGCAUUAGCUAGUUGGUAAGGUAGCGGCUUACCAAGGCAACGAUGCAUAGCCGACCUGAGAGGGUGAUCGGCCACACUGGAACUGAGACACGAUCCAGACUCCUACGGGAGGCAGCAGUAGGGAAUCUUCCGCAAUGGGCGAAAGCCUGACGGAGCAACGCCGCGUGAGUGAUGAAGGUCUUCGGAUCGUAAAACUCUGUUAUUAGGGAAGAACAUAUGUGUAAGUAACUGUGCACAUCUUGACGGUACCUAAUCAGAAAGCCACGGCUAACUACGUG